UACGUAGGGUGCGAGCGUUGUCCGGAAUUACUGGGCGUAAAGAGCUCGUAGGUGGUUUGUCGCGUUGUUCGUGAAAACUCACAGCUUAACUGUGGGCGUGCGGGCGAUACGGGCAGACUGGAGUACUGCAGGGGAGACUGGAAUUCCUGGUGUAGCGGUGGAAUGCGCAGAUAUCAGGAGGAACACCGGUGGCGAAGGCGGGUCUCUGGGCAGUGAACUGACGCUGGAGGAGCGAAAAGCGUGGGGAGCGAACAGG
rnacentral:rRNA from 1 species